rnacentral:tRNA from 1 species
UCCUCGAUAGCUCAGUGGUAGAGCAGUUGGCUGUUAACCAAUUGGUCGUAGGUUCGAAUCCUACUCGGGGAGCCA